rnacentral:rRNA from 1 species
UACGUAGGGGGCAAGCGUUGUCCGGAUUUAUUGGGCGUAAAGAGCGUGUAGGCGGCCAGGUAGGUCUGCUGUGAAAACUCGAGGCUUAACCCCGAGCUGUCGGCGGAAACCAUCUGGCUAGAGUCCGGAAGAGGAGAAUGGAAUUCCCGGUGUAGCGGUGAAAUGCGCAGAUAUCGGGAAGAACACCCGUGGCGAAGGCGGUUCUCUGGGACGGUACUGACGCUGAGACGCGAAAGCGUGGGGAGCGAACAGG